GACGAACGCUGGCGGCGUGCUUAACACAUGCAAGUCGAACGAAGUGGCGAACGGGUGAGUAACGCGUAAUCAACCUGCCCUUCAGAGGGGGACAACAGUUGGAAACGACUGCUAAUACCGCAUACUGAAGGAGGGGAUUGCGUCUGAUUAGCUAGUUGGAGGGGCAACGGCCCACCAAGGCGAUCCUCAGUCGCCGGGCUGAGGGGAUGAACGGCCAAAUUGGGAAUGGGAAACGGCCCAGAAUGCGAAGGGAGGCAGCAGGGGGGAAACUUCCGCAAUGGAGGAAAGGCUGACGGAGCAACGCCGCGUUAGUGAUGACGGCCUUCGGGUUGUAAAGCUCUGUUAAUCGGGACGCGGUACCGGAAUAGAAAGCCACGGCUAACUACGUGCCAGCAGCCGCGGUAAUAC
rnacentral:rRNA from 1 species